rnacentral:lncRNA from 1 species
UGCGCCUUGGAGGACAGCGGUCCCCACACCCGGGGGCUCGGGGCUGGGCCGGGCUGCGCGCCGGGGAGGGCCACCCGCCGGGCUCCUCAGGCCUGGGACCCCGGCGGGGGCGGACCGUCCCAUCCCCAAGGGAAGGGGUGUCGCCCAGUCUGGCUCCUCGGGGCCGCGGCAGCGCCAAGGCCGGGCUGUCACCUCCCUGGGGCGGAGCCUCAUACCCUGUCAUCCAGCCCCCAGUCCUGGCCUGGCUUCAGGAUGGGAGGGGGAUGGGCCUGCAAACCAGGGACAGGUGGGGGGAGGGUGCUGAGAUGCGGACAAGCAUGGCCUGGUGGCCCUGACUCAGGGGGGCAGCUCUGCUGGCAGGAAAGCCCUGGCACACUGGGGACACAGAGGGUCAGCCAGACCAGAGGUCCUGCCAGGUGAGCGCCCAGCUCGCUGCUUUUCCAAGCUCACCUUGGAGCGUGCUCCCCUAGCCUGUGAGGAGGUGGAGACCCUGUACCACUGUCUGAGCCACCCACCCCCCACCCACCCCUAGCCUCUCCAGACUGGGCACCCAGAGAAGCCGCUGGCCCAAGUCUGAACGUGGGCCUGGUACAGAGGGGUGGACCCCAGCUCAGCCUGCAUGCGGGGGCAUGGAACCUCAGGUUUCCAUGGAGCUCUCCUGUGAUGCUGUGGGGAGGGCCUGCCUGAGAACUGCGGGUGGCAGGGGCUCGAUCCACCCACCGCCCUGCCUCCCCUGCUGGCGGCCUCCUGGCCUGCUGCGCCGCUCAGGGACCUGGAGGCAGCCUUGAGCUCCUUGAGCUCACACACCCCCACGUGGUCCGGCAGCCAGCGCCUGGUUUCUGCUGCCGUGCGCUCACUGCAAAGAUGGAGGGGUCGCUCUCCUGGCCUUGUCAUGGUAGCCCCAAAGAGCUUGGUGGGUUUCAACCACUCCAAAAAGGGGGAGAGUCAGAGGCCGUUCCUGCAAAGCAGGAGGAGCUCUGGGCCCAGGCAUGCUCCAGAAGCACAGCUGUGGCUAGGGCCACAUGUAGACUGGGGGCAGGGCAGCAAGCCCGUGAGCCCCCGGGCCACGCCUGGGCCUGACGGGGCCACUUUAGGGCCCACAGGGGCCUCUGCGCUGGGCCUUGACACAGCGCUGGAGGACCGCUGCAUGUCCAGCCGCGCCAGUUGUGGGGGUGGGGGCUGCAGGAGGCUGGCUACAGUUGCUUAA